rnacentral:rRNA from 1 species
GACGAACGCUGGCGGCGUGCCUAAUACAUGCAAGUAGAACGCACAGUUUAUACCGUAGCUUGCUCCACCAUAGACUGUGAGUUGCGAACGGGUGAGUAACGCGUAGGUAACCUGCCUGGUAGCGGGGGAUAACUAUUGGAAACGAUAGCUAAUACCGCAUAAUAUUGAUUAUUGCAUGAUAAUUAAUUGAAAGGUGCAAUUGCACCACUACCAGAUGGCCCUGCGUUGUAUUAGCUAGUAGGUGAGGUCACGGCUCCCCUAGGCGACGAUGCAUAUCCGACCUGGAAGGGUGAUAGGCCACACUGGGACGGGGACACGGCCCAGACUACUGCGGGAGGGAGCAGUAGGGAAUCUUCGGCAAUGGACGAAAGUCGGAACGAGCAACGCCGCGUGAGUGAAGAAGGUUGUCGGAUCGUAAAGCUCUGUUGUAAGAGAAGAACGGGAGUGAGAGUGGAAAGUUCACACUGUGACGGUAUCUUACCAGAAAGGGACGGCUAACUACGUG